rnacentral:rRNA from 1 species
UGGUAUUCUAGAGCUAAUACAUGCUGAAAGUCCCGACUUCGGAAGGGAUGUAUUUAUUAGAUUAAAAACCAAUGCCCUCCGGGGCUCACUGGUGAUUCAUAAUAACUCAACGAAUCGCACGGCCUUGAGCUGGCGAUGGUUCAUUCAAAUUUCUGCCCUAUCAACUUUCGAUGGUCAUAUAGAGAAUGAUCAUGGUGUCAACGGGUAACGGGGAAUUAGGGUUCGAUUCCGGAGAGGGAGCCUGAGAAACGGCUACCACAUCCAAGGAAGGCAGCAGGCGCGCAAAUUACCCAAUAGCAACACGCUGAGGUAGUGACAAUAAAUACUGAUCGGGGGCUCUUAUGGGCUUCCGAAUCGGAAUGAGUACAAUUUAAAUCCCUUAACGAGGAACAAUUGGAGGGCAAGUCUGGUGCCAGCAGCCGCGGUAAUUCCAGCUCCAAUAGCGUAUAUUAAAGUUGUUGCAGUUAAAAAGCUCGUAGUUGAACCUUGGGCCUGGCUGACCGGUCCGCCUAACCGCGUGUACUGGUUCGGCCGGGCCUUUCUUCUGGGGAGCCGCAUGUCCUUCGCUGGGCGUGCCGGGGAACCAGGACUUUUACUUUGAAAAAAUUAGAGUGUUCAAAGCAGGCCUAUGCUCGAAUACAUUAGCAUGGAAUAAUAGAAUAGGACGUUGCGUUCUCAUUUUGUUGGUUUCCGAGGACGCCGUAAUGAUUAAUAGGGACAGUCGGGGGCAUCAGUAUUCAAUUGUCAGAGGUGAAAUUCUUGGAUUUAUUGAAGACUAACUACUGCGAAAGCAUUUGCCAAGUAUGUUUUCAUUAAUCAGUGAACGAAAGUUAGGGGAUCGAAGACGAUCAGAUACCGUCGUAGUCUUAACCAUAAACUAUGCCGACUAGGGAUCGGUUGAUGUUUCUUAUUGACUCAAUCGGCACCUUACGAGAAAUCAAAGUUCGGUUCUGGGGGGAGUAUGGUCGCAAGGCUGAAACUUAAAGAAAUUGACGGAAAGGCACCACCAGGAGUGGAGCCUGCGGCUUAAUUUGACUCAACACGGGGAAACUCACCAGGUCCAGACACAGUAAGGAUUGACAGAUUGAGAGCUCUUUCUUGAUCCUGUGGUUGGUGGUGCAUGGCCGUUCUUAGUUGGUGGAGUGAUUUGUCUGCUUAAUU